GGUCAUGAGUAUCAGCGUCAAGCCCCGGCUGGCUGAUCGGCAACCCUCCAACCGCGGUGGGGUGCUCCGGGUGAUGACCGGGUUGAGGGAUCGCGAGAGCGAAACCCCGGCAAGCGCGGGUC
rnacentral:ncRNA from 2 species